rnacentral:rRNA from 1 species
AGAGUUUGAUCCUGGCUCAGGAUGAACGCUGGCGGCGUGCCUAAUACAUGCAAGUCGAACGAAGAGAUGAAGCUAAGCUUGCUUAGCAUCUGAUCUUAGUGGCGAACGGGUGAGUAAUACAUAAACAACCUGCCCCGAUGUCUGGGAUAACAGUUGGAAACGACUGCUAAUACCGGAUAAGUUACCUGAAGGCAUCUUCAGAAAACGAAAGAUGGGAUACAUCGCAACGGGAUGGAUUUAUGGCGCAUUAGUUAGUAGGUGAGGUAACGGCUCACCUAGACAAAGAUGCGUAGCCGGCCUGAGAGGGUGACCGGCCACACUGGGACUGAGACACGGCCCAGACUCCUACGGGAGGCAGCAGUAGGGAAUUUUCGGCAAUGGGGGAAACCCUGACCGAGCGACGCCGCGUGAGUGAAGAAGGCCUUCGGGUUGUAAAGCUCUGUUGUAAGGGAAGAAAUGUACGGAUAGGGAAUGAUCUGUGCUUGACGGUACCUUACCAGAAAGCCACGGCUAACUACGUGCCAGCAGCCGCGGUAAUACGUAGGUGGCAAGCGUUAUCCGGAAUUAUUGGGCGUAAAGGGAGCGCAGGCGGCUUAUUAAGUCUGAGGUUAAAGUUCGGGGCUCAACCCCGUGAUGCCUUAGAAACUGGUAGGCUAGAGUGCAGGAGAGGUGAGUGGAAUUCCAUGUGUAGCGGUAAAAUGCGUAGAUAUAUGGAGGAACACCAGUGGCGAAGGCGGCUCACUGGCCUGUAACUGACGCUGAGGCUCGAAAGCGUGGGGAGCAAAUAGGAUUAGAUACCCUAGUAGUCCACGCCGUA